CUCCUUCCUUAUUGGUUCACAAUCCCACAGAACUCUUCAGACUGUAGAUUCUACUACCCCCAGGUCGCCUCCUGAGGGUCUGCCUGCUCAGGUCACGGGUACUCUGGUAGAGAAGUGGAGUAUUAACAUCACAGAUACACACACACUAAUGGGAAGGAGCUCCCUCUGAAAACCGACAGCGGACAGCUACCAUGUCAAAGGACACCAAAGCCAUCAAUCACCAUUUCCAGUGUUGGGUGCCUGUGGGCAGCUCAUCUUGAGAGACAGAAAUGAGCAGCGACCCUGUGCAGGGCCUGUGCUUUGAAAUCACUAGCUUUCCUCGGGGUCUUCAAGGGAAUCAGCAGUCAUUGACCGGCCCCCAGCUCCAAGACUGCAUCGCCGCAAAGACAGCUCCACGGCAGAAAUCUGACGUAAUUCUCUGCGACACAGUUUGACAGGCUUGACCCCCUGAAGCGGUCCUAUACUUCUCACAGGCUGGAACUGGUGUGGUGGUGGACUCUGAGAGUGUGUAAAUGGACGGGCCUCUGUUUUAUCGGCAAUGCUCUGAAGUUGGCCACUAGAGGGCGCUAACGAGCUAUGGACUGGAAUUCUAGAUGCCCAUUUUAGUUCUUCAGAAAGCACAGUCGUCUCUUCUGGAUUCAGAACUCCAUCUCCAGCAUCAUGAUCUACAGAGAACCGGACACAAGACAAAACAAGCGAACACCAUCUUCUGAAAAUCAGGUUGCUUCUUUUAAACUGCCUUAGGUCACGUCAGCUCUGUGUUCCUGAGCGUCAAGGCUGAGCGGCUACACUGCAGCUGAAACAGAGCCAGCCAGCAGUGAGAGAGCUGCCUCUGUCUGGGCACUAGCGUGCUCUCAGGAGUUGUUUAGACUUCCAGCCCUCCUCUUCUCCAGUUCACGAAACAGGUAAUAACUUCAUCCAGCAGGAAGUUGCAUACUUCCUUUAGAAUGUUAUCUUAUAAAAUCUUCUGGAAGAACAGUG